rnacentral:rRNA from 1 species
AGUGAACGCCGGCGGUAGGCCUAACACAUGCAAGUCGAACGGCAGCACAGUAAGAGCUUGCUCUUACGGGUGGCGAGUGGCGGACGGGUGAGGAAUACAUCGGAAUCUACUUUUUCGUGGGGGAUAACGUAGGGAAACUUACGCUAAUACCGCAUACGACCUACGGGUGAAAGCAGGGGAUCUUCGGACCUUGCGCGAUUGAAUGAGCCGAUGUCGGAUUAGCUAGUUGGCGGGGUAAAGGCCCACCAAGGCGACGAUCCGUAGCUGGUCUGAGAGGAUGAUCAGCCACACUGGAACUGAGACACGGUCCAGACUCCUACGGGAGGCGGCAGUGGGGAAUAUUGGACAAUGGGCGCAAGCCUGAUCCAGCCAUACCGCGUGGGUGAAGAAGGCCUUCGGGUUGUAAAGCCCUUUUGUUGGGAAAGAAAAGCAGCAGGUUAAUACCCCGCUGUUCUGACGGUACCCAAAGAAUAAGCACCGGCUAACUUCGUG